UGGGGUGUGGUGUAAUUGGCAACACGGCAGUUUCUGGUUCUGCUAUUCGGGGUUCGAGUCCCUGCACCCCAACCA
rnacentral:tRNA from 2 species